GACCACUCUCACCUCCUGCAGCGCACUAUGAAUCUUGCAUCAUACGCUCACCACCGCAGCUACAAGGCCAUCGACACCUUCAAUUUGACUGCAGCCCGCUGUAGACACUUUCUCCAGGGAGUGUGCCUGCCAUUUUCACCAGGUGGUGUCGAGAUGUGAGGGCAAUGGGGAGGUGGUGUACCAUGUAGAGGGAGAAAUCAGUGCCAUUUGCACCAACAUACUUGCCAACACCUUUUCUCCACACUUUUCACCAGAUAUUAGCCCUUGAUGUGGGUGUGUCAAUCAACCACUGAGAAAGGAAGCAGAAGGGCUUCACUGUGGCUUCCAGCUAACUUAGCAACGUGUAACUUAUUGAUCUGUAUAAAAAAGUUGCAUUUUUAUUAGUUAUUCUGUUUUGUAUAGAUCUUGUUAUUCCUUUUAGAUAUAUAUCAUUGUGAUGAAUAGAAGUAUGUUUAUCAGAGCAAAUAUGUUAAUCUUUUUUUUUUAAUCUUUUGGGCCAUAUAUUGUACAUUCUACUGAGGACUCUAUGGCUGUUUUCUUAUAUACAUGUAGGACACACUUUACCAUGUAUAUUAUAAUUUACAUAUUUUAUAUAUACACAUACAUGUUAUAUAUGUAUUAUUAUAUAAAAAAUUGUGUGGUGAAGGCUGUCUUACAUGCAAAUUAGGAAAACAGCCAUGAAAAUUAAAUUACAGGUAUAUUUUAGCUUCCAGCUGAAGUCCUAAGUAAAAUGUGUAACAGGAAGGUCAAAAUAUAUAGGGUAAGACGUCAAGUUAAAGCUAAAUGCUGUACUGAUGUAAGCCCUGUGCUGCAGGGCAGGAGAGUCAUUGAAGCUAGUAAAUAUAAGCAACCUGGACCAGGAGAGAGUUCCAGGCAAGGACUUAAUUUGCCAGAAAUGCUCAGCAUGACAAGGGGCUUUUUAUAUAGUAGUAUGUUAUUGAUGUCAGCUUGGCCUGUAUACCUUGUUCUUGUAGUAAAUACACAUAUAAUUACCCUCGAUGUUCUGAACUUCCUUUGCAUCCCUCAUGGUUGAGGGAAAAUUUGGGUUGUUGUGUUUUGUCAAAGGAACUGGUUCUCCAACAGCUGAGAGAAGAUAUGUUAAUCAAGAUUCGUUGUAUCUGCAGAAAAGAUGUUACCUUUGACCUUUGAUAUACCUUUGAAGAAUUUCGAGAGUAUAUCUACUC